AUUGAACGCUGGCGGCAGGCCUAACACAUGCAAGUCGAACGAGUGGCGGACGGGUGAGUAAUGUCUGGGAAACUGCCUGAUGGAUGGGGAUAACUACUGGAAACGGUAGCUAAUACCGCAUACCAUCAGAUGUGCCCAGAUGGGAUUAGCUAGUUGGUGGGGUAAAGGCUCACAAAGGCGACGAUCCCUAGCUGGUCUGAGAGGAUGACCAGCCACACUGGAACGUAGACACGGACCAGACUCCUACGGUAGGCAGCAGUGGGGAAUAUUGAACAAGGGGCACAAGCCUGAUGCAGCCAUGCCGCGUGUAUGAAGAAGGCGGUCGGGUUGUAAAGUACUUUCAGCGGGGAGGCGUUACCCGCAGAAGAAGCACCGGCUAACUCCGUGCCAGCAGCCGCGGUAAUUC
rnacentral:rRNA from 1 species